rnacentral:rRNA from 1 species
GGACGAACGCUGGCGGCGUGCUUAACACAUGCAAGUCGAGCGGUAAGGCCCUUUCGGGGGUACACGAGCGGCGAACGGGUGAGUAACNCGUGGGUGACCUGCCCUCAGCUCUGGGAUAAGCCUGGGAAACCGGGUCUAAUACUGGAUAUGACUCCAUGACGCAUGUUGUGGGGUGAAAGCCUUGUGCGGCUGAGGAUCGGGCCCGCGGCCUAUCAGCUUUGGUUGGUGGGGUGANGGCCUACCAAGGCGACGACGGGUAGCCGGCCUGAGAGGGCGACCGGCCACACUGGGACUGAGACACGGCCC